UACGUAGGGUGCGAGCGUUGUCCGGAAUUAUUGGGCGUAAAGGGCUCGUAGGCGGUCUGUCGCGUCGAUCGUGAAAACUUGGGGCUUAACCCUGAGCUUGCGGUCGAUACGGGCAUGACUGGAGUUCGGCAGGGGAGACUGGAAUUCCUGGUGUAGCGGUGAAAUGCGCAGAUAUCAGGAGGAACACCGGUGGCGAAGGCGGGUCUCUGGGCCGAUACUGACGCUGAGGAGCGAAAGCGUGGGGAGCGAACAGG
rnacentral:rRNA from 1 species